GAGUUUGAUCAUGGCUCAGAUUGAACGCUGGCGGCAGGCCUAACACAUGCAAGUCGAGCGGUAGAGAGGUGCUUGCACCUCUUGAGAGCGGCGGACGGGUGAGUAAUGCCUAGGAAUCUGCCUGGUAGUGGGGGAUAACGCUCGGAAACGGACGCUAAUACCGCAUACGUCCUACGGGAGAAAGCAGGGGACCUUCGGGCCUUGCGCUAUCAGAUGAGCCUAGGUCGGAUUAGCUAGUUGGUGAGGUAAUGGCUCACCAAGGCGACGAUCCGUAACUGGUCUGAGAGGAUGAUCAGUCACACUGGAACUGAGACACGGUCCAGACUCCUACGGGAGGCAGCAGUGGGGAAUAUUGGACAAUGGGCGAAAGCCUGAUCCAGCCAUGCCGCGUGUGUGAAGAAGGUCUUCGGAUUGUAAAGCACUUUAAGUUGGGAGGAAGGGCAGUAACCUAAUACGUUGGUGUCUUGACGUUACCGACAGAAUAAGCACCGGCUAACUCUGUGCCAGCAGCCGCGGUAAUACAGAGGGUGCAAGCGUUAAUCGGAAUUACUGGGCGUAAAGCGCGCGUAGGUGGUUUGUUAAGUUGGAUGUGAAAUCCCCGGGCUCAACCUGGGAACUGCAUUCAAAACUGACAAGCUAGAGUAUGGUAGAGGGUGGUGGAAUUUCCUGUGUAGCGGUGAAAUGCGUAGAUAUAGGAAGGAACACCAGUGGCGAAGGCGACCACCUGGACUGAUACUGACACUGAGGUGCGAAAGCGUGGGGAGCAAACAGGAUUAGAUACCCUGGUAGUCCACGCCGUAAACGAUGUCAACUAGCCGUUGGGAGCCUUGAGCUCUUAGUGGCGCAGCUAACGCAUU
rnacentral:rRNA from 1 species